rnacentral:misc_RNA from 1 species
AUCAGAAUGAACUAACUCAAAAGGAGAUGAAGCCCGUUUAUUGACUCGAGACACGUUAGGCAAACAAUGAUGUUUAGCAAACUGACAGGACUCACAAUCUAAAACUGACAAAGACUGAAAUUGUGGACAUAACUUCUUUAAGACAGAUAUCCCAACCGACAAUAGACUUCAAUAGGAGUUAAAAUACUGGAACACACAAGAGAUUUUGGCACCUGUUUGUCAAGGACGUAGAGGCCUCCAGACUCAUACCCUCUACCAAUAAUUUGCUUCGUCGUAAGAUCCUGACUCAGUUAUUGCAGUGACUGGUGAACUAGAAGACUUUAGAGAGGCAUAAUACUGUGAGAACUGUGCAUAUUCUUCAGCAGAUACUAAAACUGCUUUCUCAGAAUGAGCUACUGAAGAGUCAUCAACUACCAUAUUGGCCAUCCGAGAUCGUGGGUUCUUAUUCUGAAGUUUCGGACAAUACCUUUUUGUAGGACCUGGCUCAUAGCAAUAGUAACAUUCAAUUCCUCCAGAGUCACGAUUAGGGGCAACCUCCUCACUAUGCUGGUUACUCAUAUUGCCACUAUACCCUCUUUUACUGCCUCCUUUAUGACUUUGCCUGCCACUGUCAGCACGACUAAUAAGAGCACUAUUAACAGAUUGGGAUAAUUGGGGAGCUUCAGUAUGAAGUACUCUUGAGAAAGUAUCAUAUAGAAAUGAAAUUUUAGAACCAGAAAGAAUUUGAGAUUUGGCCGUCUCAAACUCUGGAGGAAGACCUGCAAGAAAACUCAUCACAACCAUUUGCUUCCUUUGAGCCUGUUGGACUUUCAUAUCAUGAUUAAAUGACAUCAAUACAUUGAGUUUCUCAUAAACUCGCUUAAAAUUCAUAAAACAAGCCGUAAGAGACCUAUUUUCAUUUUCUACUCUAUAGAAUGCCUUGCACACUUCAUAAGUACAAGAAAUACUUCCUUUUCCCGAGUACAAAAAUUCUAAACAAUCCAUCAUGUCUUUAGUAAGCUCACAGUGAUUCAUUAAACUAAUUACUUCACUACUAAUGGAAUUUCGAAUCUGUAGAAACAAUUGAGCAUCUUCUCUCAUCCAAGUCUGCUUUGUAUCAUCAUUAAGAGGAUCUUUUGUAAGGUGAUCAUCCUUAUCAAUACUU